AGGGAUAUAGCUGAGUGGCACAGUGCUUGCCUGACAAGCAUGAGGUCCUGAGUUCUACUCCUGGUAACCCCC
rnacentral:tRNA from 1 species